rnacentral:rRNA from 1 species
UUGAUGGAACAACCCCCGCUUGAAUGAAGAAGGGUUUCGGCUUGUAAAACUCUGUUGUUAAAGAAGAACAUAUCUGAGAGUAACUGUUCAGGUAUUGACGGUAUUUAACCAGAAAGCCACGGCUAAUUACGUGCCAGCAGCCGCGGUAAUACGUAGGUGGCAAGCGUUGUCCGGAUUUAUUGGGCGUAAAGCGAGCGCAGGCGGUUUUUUAAGUCUGAUGUGAAAGCCUUCGGCUCAACCGAAGAAGUGCAUCGGAAACUGGGAAACUUGAGUGCAGAAGAGGACAGUGGAACUCCAUGUGUAGCGGUGAAAUGCGUAGAUAUAUGGAAGAACACCAGUGGCGAAGGCGGCUGUCUGGUCUGUAACUGACGCUGAGGCUCGAAAGUAUGGGUAGCAAACAGGAUUAGAUACCCUGGUAGUCCAUACCGUAAACGAUGAAUGCUAAGUGUUGGAGGGUUUCCGCCCUUCAGUGCUGCAGCUAACGCAUUAAGCAUUCCGCCUGGGGAGUACGGCCGCAAGGCUGAAACUCAAAGGAAUUGACGGGGGCCCGCACAAGCGGUGGAGCAUGUGGUUUAAUUCGAAGCUACGCGAAGAACCUUACCAGGUCUUGACAUACUAUGCAAAUCUAAGAGAUUAGACGUUCCCUUCGGGGACAUGGAUACAGGUGGUGCAUGGUUGUCGUCAGCUCGUGUCGUGAGAUGUUGGGUUAAGUCCCGCAACGAGCGCAACCCUUAUUAUCAGUUGCCAGCAUUAAGUUGGGCACUCUGGUGAGACUGCCGGUGACAAACCGGAGGAAGGUGGGGAUGACGUCAAAUCAUCAUGCCCCUUAUGACCUGGGCUACACACGUGCUACAAUGGAUGGUACAACGAGUUGCGAACUCGCGAGAGUAAGCUAAUCUCUUAAAGCCAUUCUCAGUUCGGAUUGUAGGCUGCAACUCGCCUACAUGAAGUCGGAAUCGCUAGUAAUCGCGGAUCAGCAUGCCGCGGUGAAUACGUUCCCGGGCCUUGUACACACCGCCCGUCACACCAUGAGAGUUUGUAACACCCAAAGUCGGUGGGGUAACCUUUAGGAACCAGCCGCCUAAGUGACAGAUAUGGGA